rnacentral:rRNA from 1 species
UACGAAGGGGACUAGCGUUGCUCGGAAUCACUGGGCGUAAAGCGCACGUAGGCGGAUUGUUAAGUCAGGGGUGAAAUCCUGGAGCUCAACUCCAGAACUGCCUUUGAUACUGGCGAUCUUGAGUCCGGGAGAGGUGAGUGGAACUGCGAGUGUAGAGGUGAAAUUCGUAGAUAUUCGCAAGAACACCAGUGGCGAAGGCGGCUCACUGGCCCGGUACUGACGCUGAGG